rnacentral:rRNA from 1 species
UACGGAGGGGGCUAGCGUUGUUCGGAAUUACUGGGCGUAAAGGGUGCGCAGGCCGCGCGGGCAGUCAAAUGUGUAAUCCAGGGGCUCAACCCCUGAACUGCGCUUGAUACUUCCGCGCUCGAGCUUUGGAGAGGAGUCUGGAAUUCUCGGUGUAGCAGUGAAAUGCGUGGAUAUCGAGAAGAACACUUAGGGCGUAGGCAAGACUCUGGACAAAUGCUGACGCUCAUGCACGAAGGCUAGGGUAGCGAACGGG